UUCAUCGUGACGCAAAAGGGAACCGCUGCGGCAGCUUUCCUUAGCAGCAGAUCGGUCUCUCCGAUGGAUUCGCUUUGGAGAGAUAAGUCGAGGGCUGUGGUCACAGAGGGGAUCGAAGCAGGGUAGUGGGUUAGGAUUCACACCGGUUAGGGUUUUGAGUCAGCUAUGGGGAGGGGGAGGUUUGAGAACUGGCCUCUGGGGCUACCGUGAGGGAAAGGCUCACUUUGGCUAACAAUGCUGAGGCGGGCAGGGCAGAGCAGUCCCAAGGUGUGUUGUCACUUGUCUGUCGUGCUUUCUGUGUCUUCCGUUCAUCUCGUGUAACAUGUCUCUUGCCUUAGUCCUCCCAGGAGCUUAUGAGAAACCCCAGGUCCUUCCGGUCAUCUCCCAUCUUUGCGUUCCUCGGCCCGGGGCCGACGCCGGCGAAGUUUCGAUUCGGGAGGUCAGACAGGCGUCAGAAUCGCAUCUCUCUUCAGCAGCAUCCGAUCGGAUGUCUUUUUAGGUCUUGUUCUCAGCUGUGUUGACAGCUGUAUGCAGUAAUCUUUCUUUACAGUGGAUAAGGACUUGUGCCGAUUCAAAGGCAGGCAGAGGCUUCCAGCCACAGGAUUCUCAGGCAUCCGUCUCCGCGGUUCUCGGAAUAAGUCGUUCCGUUAGCAUCUUUUUCCCCCGGGGUCAUCCGAGCCCGGCGGGCUCGCCUUCGGUCCCAUCUCGGUCAUCUCGUUCAGCAUUUUCUUGGUCCUCGUGAGGACUUUCUCGUCUCAGAGAGUUUUCUCUCCCUGUCGUGUCCCCUCGUCUCACGUGUCACGGGUGUCUGGGGGUAUUGGGUCCGGAACUGCUCUGCCCUGCCGCCCGGCCCCGUUGCAGGUGUUCAAGGACAAGUCCCGGGCACUUGUAAGUGGAGACUUGUAAUACGGGCUGUAGUUGGAGUCUAGGUAGUAUUCUUAUGUUGGCAGAAGGUGUCUGGAGCUGUGAAGUUACCCUGCAGCACUUUGACUUUUUUCCUAACUUUCUUUCAGAUGCGGAUGGAUCGACCUCCCGGCAGAGCGCCUCGUCCCAGAUGAGGGGAUCCCCCCGAGAAGGAAGUAAAGCCGGAUAGCAGCAGUGAAGGCGAAGCAUUGUGAAGGUGGUCUACUUGCAAGAUAUCCCAGCCCAGGAUGCCAGAGGACAGGUUCCGUGCAGAGAGGCAGAGCCGAAGUUCGCGAUCGGCCGCACCGAAGCCGGCGUGGGGGACGUCUCGACGUACGCAUCCUAUCGAGGAUGGGUCUUGUCCUAUUACGUUACAAAAGGUCUCUGAUGCCUAUUUUCUGAGGAUCUACCAUUUGAUGUUGAGAAGCAGCAGCGAGAAGAUGUCUCGGGGCAUUUUGUUCAGCACAGUGUUUCAAAUAAGGGUUGCGGUCACUGUGUGAGUUAGAGUCUCCUGCUGUGUGUCAGGGCGUGUCUGUCUGUGAGAGUCGGUGGGUCUGGGUGUGCUUGUGUGUGUGCGUGUUGUGCGGUUCUAACCUUGUGUGUAUUGCUUUUGCUUUUCAGGACUUUAAAUUCACUUUUAAAUUUAGAAUAAAAAAUCCCCAGCUGGGGGGUUUUUUUUUUCCCUCCCAGCUGGGGUUUUUUUUCCUCGGUCCCGGCCGGUCUGCGAGGCGACAGUCAUCGCCUAAGUUUGGGCACGGACCGGCCCCGGACCGGGGUUUUCGUCAGGCAGGCUGAUUUUUGAGGCCCCUGGGAACUGUGUUCCCGUGGGGUAGGAGGGGGGUGUGUGUGUGUGCUUGUGUGUGUGCGUGUUGUGCGGUUCUAACCUUGUGUGUAUUGCUUUUGCUUUUCAGGACUUUAAAUUCACUUUUAAAUUUAGAAUAAAAAAUCCCCAGCUGGGGGGGUUUUUUUUUUUUCCCUCCCAGCUGGGGUUUUUUUUCCUCGGUCCCGGCCGGUCUGCGAGGCGACAGUCAUCGCCUAAGUUUGGGCACGGACCGGCCCCGGACCGGGGUUUUCGUCAGGCAGGGUGAUUUCGAGGCCCCCGGGAACCAAGUUCCCGUGGGGUAGGAGGGGUGUGUGUUGUGGGGUUCUAACCUUGUGUGUAUUGCUUUUCAGGACUUUAAAUUCACUUUUAAAUUUAGAAUAAAAAAUCCCCAGCUGGGGGGGUUUUUUUUUUUCCCUCCCAGCUGGGGUUUUUUUUCCUCGGUCCCGGCCGGUCUGCGAGGCGACAGUCAUCGCCUAAGUUUGGGCACGGACCGGCCCCGGACCGGGGUUUUCGUCAGGCAGGGUGAUUUCGAGGCCCCUGGGAACCGAGUUCCCGUGGGGUAGGAGGGGCGGGUGUGUGUUGUGGGGUUCUAACCUUGUGUGUAUUGCUUUUCAGGACUUUAAAUUCACUUUUAAAUUUAGAAUAAAAAAUCCCCAGCUGGGGGGGUUUUUUUUUUUUCCCUCCCAGCUGGGGUUUUUUUUCCUCGGUCCCGGCCGGUCUGCGAGGCGACAGUCAUCGCCUAAGUUUGGGCACGGACCGGCCCCGGACCGGGGUUUUCGUCAGGCAGGCCGAUUUCGAGGCUCCCGGGAACCACGUUCCCGAGGACCGCCGAUGGCAGGGUUAUAACGGGGCGGUUGAGAGGAGAGCGAAGGUGAGCGUGUGUGUGAGCAGAAGCCGGCUUCUGUGGCGAAUGAGUAUUGUGUUUUCUGCGUGCUCGUUGUGGUUUGGGGGAGCAGUAAUAAUGAAACAGCAUGUAUUGUCCUUUUCAGAAAUGGUUAUAUUACGUUAAUAUGUAUUUGGCUUGUACUGUUCUGUAUUUGCUGCUGUGU